GACGAACGCUGGCGGCGUGCCUAAUACAUGCAAGUCGAACGCACUGGGGACGGGUGAGUAACACGUGGGUCACCUCCCAUCAGAUGGGAUAACACUUGGAAACAGGUGCUAAACCGAUACUGAUGGAUGAACCCGAGGUGUAUUAGCUAGUUGGUGGGGUAACGGCUCACCAAGGCCACGAUUCAUAGCCGAGCUGGGAGGGUGAUCGGCCACACUGGGACGGAGAAAGGGCCCAGAAGCCUACGGGUGGCAGCAGUAGGGAAGCUUCGGCAAUGGACGAAAGUCUGACCAGGCAACGCCGCGUGAGUGAAGAAGGUUUUCGGAUCGUAAAACUCUGUUGUUAGAGAAGCGGUAUCUAACCAGAAAGCCACGGCUAACUACGUGCCAGCAGCCGCGGUAAUUC
rnacentral:rRNA from 1 species